rnacentral:lncRNA from 1 species
UGUAAGUCCAAUGGUGUUUUCUCCUAUUGCAUGGAUCAGCUUUUCUAAUGCUGGGACAAAAUGUCUGACAUCUACAACUCAAAAGAGGGAAGAUUUAUUUUGGCUUGUAGUUUCAGAGGAUUCGGUCCACAGUAGGCUGGCUCCAAGGUGAGAGGUCACAUACUUGCCCACUGAUGGACUUUGGUGAGGGACGUCUGCCUUGAAGCCCAGCCCCUAUUAUGAUGCCAAAACUCAAGGGAAGAGGACAUCAUCUCUUUCCAAUUAAUACAUUUUCUGCAGGCAUCUGAAUAAAAUAGCCAAGAUUUCCCCUUCAAAGCUCUCUGUCUUAAGUUUAAAGAAGUGAGAGCCCAUAAAAGAUGGUCCUAAUUAAGCUUAAAAUUUUUGGCAAGUGUUGGAUUACUUAAAGGCCUGACAUAAACAUCUUGGAAAUUAAGAUGUUUCUCUAUUACAACAAUCUCCUCUUGACAUCUGCACCACAGCCAGGGCUGCUCAGGUGUCCUGAGAAAUGUACUCACUCCACAGGCUGGUCAUCUUUUGAAGGUGCUGAAUCAAGUGAAUGAGAGACCACAAGUCUUUUGGUCUUCAUGAAGAUAAAACCAGGGGCCAGCUUGCUCUGGUUCUGUGAAUAAAUUGGUGCCACUGACCAGAGACCUUACAAAAGAGUCAGUGCACACUUGGAUGCCAGACAGCACCAUAACCCAGAGAACCCAAGGCCAAACUGCUUUAGCUCAGCAUGGAGAAUAUGCAUCUCAGAUGUAUUUUCAAGGUGUGUCGGAGAAAGGCCUCUGUUGUCUCACUGCAUGGAGCAAAUCUCUGGCCCACAUGGACUGUCUCUCCUUCUCAGACUACAGAAUCUCCACUUAGGAACAUGAAUUUUGGACAAGUUCUUCAGCUUCUGCCAACAGCUAAAGACACUCGCAUGAAGCAGGACUACUCAGUGGUGUCUCUAUGGGGCAGGACCAUGGGGAAUUUGUCAGGAAAUGCAAAUCAGCAAUGUUUAGUUUAAAAUUGACUUUAAAACUUUGUGAGCAAUUAGACAUUAUGUAAAGAGUAAUACAUGUGGAUUUUUGCCAACCACUUGCAGUAGCUUUCCAGUAAUGGCAAAACAAUCCUUUCUCUAAUUCACAUCAACUUAAAAAGAUGAUAAGUUUUUAAAUUUUGAGACAAUUUUUAUGUUGUUUUUACUGUGGAAUCACUUCUUAAUUUAAUUACACACAAAAAAGAGAAUUUCUUUUCUAUUACAAAGAAAGAACUACAUCUUUUUAGUGUGUAAAUAAUUUCAUAGCAAGUUGCUCAAAGUGUCUAAAUACCAAUAGUGAUAAGAGACAGACACAAUCUUAUCAUUUUAUUGUUGAAAAAAUUCAAACUAUGUGAAUUUAUAUCUUUUGUACUUUGAAAUCUAACAUUCUGAAAAAAACCCAACUGGUUUAGUUUUGGUAGUGUGAGCUGAAUUCUAAAGUAGAAGAGUCAAUCCCACGGUGCGGUUUUCCAUGCAUAAAUGGGACACAGGAGCUUCUUCAGAAUUCACACCUUAGCUGCUGAGAAGGCUGCAGAAGCAGGAAGGCCAUCUCACCUUGGUGUGAACCUGGCUGGGAAAGUCAUCAUGGAUCCUCUCCCCCCAGCAACAGGUGUGCUGCCCUACACCAGGGGGAAGAAGUGCCAUGCAGCAUGUAUUUACCCUAGAGUUCACAUGGCAAGCCAUUUGUGAGGUUCCAGUGAGCCAACAUGUCUACGCCUCUGGGAACAUGGGCCCUUCUGGGAAGAAGAAUGACAGCCUUCAAGCAGACGGCCCGUGGAAACGGUCAGACCUUAUUGGGAAAAAGUCUCAUGCUGGGCUGUCCAUGUGCGCCUUAGAUCCAGUGACAGGUAUCUUAUAAGAGAUUCACAGAAUGGAGAUGUGAGGAGAGACAACGGCUAUGUGACAGUGGAGCCAGACACUAUCACACACCCCAGGCGGAAGAAUGCCCGUCACCCUCAGAGGCCGGGAGAGGCAACAAAGGACCCUGCGCUGCGGGAUGUGGAGCGGAGGGCUUUGCUGACCCCUUGAUUUCAGACUUCUGUUUUUUUUUUUUUUUAUAUAUUUCCAGUUUUAAUUGGAAAAACAAAAAUCUUGAAACAUGUACAUACAUUUAGGAGGCAAUGAAAGAAAAAGGGGAUGAUUGCCAAUAUCCAUCAGCAAGUAUUUCUGGUUCUAUAAUUGAGAUUUUUCUAGUCAAAUUCCAACUUUCCAAGUUUAUUUUAAAUUUCUUUUCUGUACAUUUACCUGUUUGAACAAGAUCAACAUUAAAUAAGUAAAAAAAAAUAUGGUCUAGAAAAUUCUUUAUAUUUAUUCCUGGCAGAAACAUCUCAGCUCUAAAACUGAUAUGCCAAUAUAAUGAAAGGC